rnacentral:misc_RNA from 1 species
AAACAUGCUGGUUCGGCCACCCACGCCGCCCGCGAUGUUCAGACGUCUAUCGCGAUGUAGCGGCUUUGCCUGAUUUGAUUCCUUAACAUCAGGCCCAUAUAACCGCGUCAUAGAUUAAAGUCGUGGCGCAAACCACGAUGCUGAGGCUGUUGUGCCGAUUUACACACGUUCGGAACAUCGCGAGGUUUAUCAGGCGGCACCCACAACUCGCAAAAGUCGGCGGGAGAACCGUCUUUUCGACUACGGCAGCGUGGAGCCUCCCGAUUAUAGCAAGAUGCGUGGAAGACGACAGCGAUGGCACGCUUACGACCAUCGACCCAGAAAUGCUGUCGCACGAGUUUCUCAUCAAGCAGGCAAGCAUUGUUGCUGUUGAGGCAGCUAGCAGGGUACUCAUUCAGCUCACAGCAGCCAUCCUGGAUGCCCAUGAAGCAUACUGGAAAAGCCUGAACAAGCUGAGCAGUCUGUUUAUGCGGUUUGAGACAGAAGUGGGACUCUGCUCGGGGGACGACUCCAUCUGGCUGGAGAUGAUCGCCAUCCGUGAGGAGACCAACAGGCUCAAGGCAGAUGUUCUGUCUCUUGAGUCGCGAAUGCAAAGCGUCGCUGCCCUCAUGGAGGCCGUGGCACAGACUGCAUUUGCCAAUGGUUCCGAAUACGCCGGCAUCAGUGCCAACGAACGUCUGCUCUCGUCUGAGCGCCAGAUAAGGUCAGCCGCCCAGAAGACUGCAACCCUCGAAGAGGUCCUCAACAAGGCCCACAGGGACGCCGUCCUCUCUGGUGCCGACAAAGCGGACAUGCCAGACAAAGAAGACCUAAAGGAAACGUAGGAGCGGUAGACAUAGAUGCCAAAAACACCUGUGAAGUACAUUUAAAAUGCCCGGAAAUGGUGCUGCAAUCCAGGAUAAAUAAAUCAGCACAAUGAACCAGUCAUGUGAUGCCACGACUUCACCUACAUCUUUAGGGGCAUAGAAGGAUGCUGUACAGACAUCAGGAGCAUCAGGUUAAAAAAGAAUGUUUACAUUUACGGUGACCUGUGGCUCAACCAAAUAAAAUUAUUUUGUCGUGUUUCCAAAA